rnacentral:pre_miRNA from 8 species
UUUCUGAGGCUCUCUUCGGUGACGGGUAUUCUUGGGUGGAUAAUACGGCUCUCGUUGUUAUUGCUUAAGAAUACGCGUAGUUGAGGAGAGUCAUUGUCGA